GAUGAACGCUGACAGAAUGCUUAACACAUGCAAGUCAACUUGAACUUCGGUUUGGGUGGCGGACGGGUGAGUAACGCGUAAAGAACUUGCCUCACAGAUAGGGACAACAUUUGGAAACGAAUGCUAAUACCUGAUAUUAUGAUUAUAUGGCAUCGUAUAAUUAUGGAAGCUAUAUGCGCUGUGAGAGAGCUUUGCGUCCCAUUAGCUAGUUGGAGAGGUAACGGCUCACCAAGGCGAUGAUGGGUAGCCGGCCUGAGAGGGUGAUCGGCCACAAGGGGACUGAGACACGGCCCUUACUCCUACGGGAGGCAGCAGUGGGGAAUAUUGGACAAUGGACCAAGAGUCUGAUCCAGCAAUUCUGUGUGCACGAUGAAGUUUUUCGGAAUGUAAAGUGCUUUCAGUUGGGAAGAAAAAAAUGACGGUACCAACAGAAGAAGUGACGGCUAAAUACGUG
rnacentral:rRNA from 1 species